rnacentral:rRNA from 1 species
UUAGUGGCGGACGGGUGAGUAACGCGUGGAUAACCUGCCGUAUACAGGGGGAUAACACUUAGAAAUAGGUGCUAAUACCGCAUAAGCGCACGGUUCCGCAUGGAACAGUGUGAAAAACUCCGGUGGUAUACGAUGGAUCCGCGUCUGAUUAGCCAGUUGGCGGGGUAACGGCCCACCAAAGCGACGAUCAGUAGCCGGCCUGAGAGGGUGAACGGCCACAUUGGGACUGAGACACGGCCCAAACUCCUACGGGAGGCAGCAG